rnacentral:rRNA from 1 species
UACGUAGGGUGCAAGCGUUGUCCGGAAUUAUUGGGCGUAAAGAGCUCGUAGGCGGUCUGUCGCGUCUGCUGUGAAAAUCAGGGCUCAACCCUGGACCUGCAGUGGGUACGGGCAGACUAGAGUGCGGUAGGGGAGAUCGGAAUUCCUGGUGUAGCGGUGAAAUGCGCAGAUAUCAGGAGGAACACCGGUGGCGAAGGCGGAUCUCUGGGCCAUUACUGACGCUGAGGAGCGAAAGCGUGGGGAGCGAACAGG